rnacentral:rRNA from 1 species
GACGAACGCUGGCGGCGUGCUUAACACAUGCAAGUCGAACGGAAAGGCCCUGCUUUUGUGGGGUGCUCGAGUGGCGAACGGGUGAGUAACACGUGAGUAACCUGCCCUUGACUUUGGGAUAACUUCAGGAAACUGGGGCUAAUACCGGAUAGGAGCUCCUGCUGCAUGGUGGGGGCUGGUAAGUUUCGGCGGUUGGGGUUGGACUCGCGGCUUAUCAGCUUGUUGGUGGGGUAGUGGCUUACCAAGGCUUUGACGGGUAGCCGGCCUGCGAGGGUGACCGGCCACAUUGGGACUGAGAUACGGCCCAGACUCCUACGGGAGGCAGCAGUGGGGAAUAGUGCACUAUGGGCUGAAGCCUGAUGCAGCAACGCCGCGUGCGGGAUGACGGCCAUCGGGUUGUAAUCCGCUUUCGCCUGUGACGAAGCGUGAGUGACGGUAAUGGGUAAAGAAGCACCGGCUAACUACGUG